rnacentral:rRNA from 1 species
UGCGUAGGCGGGUCUUUAAGUCAGGGUGAAAUCCUGGAGCUCAACUCCAGAACUGCCUUUGAUACUGAGGAUCUUGAGUUCGGGAGAGGUGAGUGGAACUGCGAGUGUAGAGGUGAAAUUCGUAGAUAUUCGCAAGAACACCAGUGGCGAAGGCGGCUCACUGGCCCGAUACUGACGCUGAGGCACGAAAGCUGGGGAGCAAACA